rnacentral:tRNA from 212 species
UGCGGGGUGGAGCAGUCUGGUAGCUCGUCGGGCUCAUAACCCGAAGGUCAUCGGUUCAAAUCCGGUCCCCGCUACCA